UGAAGAAGUGCUACUUUGUGUCAAAGGUAGCAAACAAGAAUGCUGUCUUCUAAAAACAGGAACUUCCACUAGUGUUCACCAGAAAUAAAAUAAAAUCUGUAGAUCCACAAGGAUUUACUCAAAUAGUUUGCAGACUCACUAUCAAAACAUUCUUGUAGGGCCUGUGUGUUAAAAAAAAAAUCCCAUCAAUGCGUAAUGGCAAAUAGACAAAAUUGCUGAAAAAAACUCCUAAAUUGGAGUUUGGAAUCAAUAUCCUUUUGACUAUAUGUCAAAAAGAAGAGAAUGUAGAAAUUGUCUGUCAAUGUGCUUAGCAUGUGUUAGCCUAAUGUAGUGACUGUGAAGGUUUAUAUCAUAAGCAAUUCUAUUCUUCCUCCUUUGAACUUGCCCUCUUUCCACCUCUCCCCAGAUACCUCCCACCCCAUCUUGCAUGUAUGUUUCUUUUACCUUUGCCUUUUGAACCUACAUCUUUGAAGUUGCUGCUAUCCUCUGAAUCCCACGAAGGCUGCUGAUUGCCCAGGGCCUUGGGUUGAGGUGGCUGGUGGUUUCUGUUCUCCUUUGCUUCUAUGAGACCCAGCAAAUUCCUUGCAGCUUCUUCCCACCUGAUGUACUCUCUCAGCUGCUGCUUCAGGCUCCCUCUCUCAGAAACAGAAGAAGACUCCCCUGUGCUCUUUUUCCCCAUUAAGUGCCCUGUAAAAACAAAAACAAAAACACUCAGAAUGCCACAAAUUUAACCAAAGGGAAUGAAUGAGAAAUUUAAAAGAAAUUUAAAGCUAAUUGUGUUUGUGCUGCUUCCUCCUAAAUGCAGAAUAAAUCAUGUUUUAUUAAGAGUUAGUUCAUAAACGACAGAUAGAUUUUGCUCUCUGUUCAAAAUGUGCAAUGAGCUAGACAGCAUUCAGAACUGCAACCCAGGAACCCUGGGUUUGGUUCCAGCACCUCUCCUAACUAGUUAGGUCACCUCUGCCAAGUCGUUUAGCACCCCUAGUCUUCAAUUUUCUCAACUAUAAAAUGAACAGGGUAGACUAGAUUAAAUCUAAGGAGGCUUCCAUAUCUAAAAUUCUAUCAUCAAUUCUGUGUGCACCAAAUUCUAUUUCCAGCUGAAAGAUGGAGUUUAAACAUCUUCCCCAGCCAAUUUUGAAUUGCUGCUGAAAAUAAAAGUCUCCAUGCUUUUCUUUGUGUGGUUUUUUAAAAAUAUUUCUUUCCUUUUAUCGUAAUAAAAAAAAUACCAAAGGAAUUUUUCAUUUAAACUUUCUCAGAGUUUUAGUUGAGACUGAACUGAGAAAA
rnacentral:lncRNA from 1 species